AGAUGUCACCCAUCGUCGAGUACCUUACGAGUGAACGGUUACCCGCUAGUGAGUAAGAAGUAAGGAAGAUGAAAAGGAUUUCCACCUAGUAUGUCAUGAUCAUUGAGAAGUUAUACAAAAUGAUUCCAGCUACAUCUAUGUUGAGAUGUUUAGAAGAAUAUGAGAUAGCUCUAAUUUUCACUAAAGUUCAUGAAGGCGAACGUGGAAACCACAACGGUGGGAGAGCUUUGGAAAGCAA
rnacentral:lncRNA from 1 species